UACCGGUUGUCCGAGUUGCAUUUUUCGCGGUGAAAGUCGUGGUAGCUGAGCGGGUAAGGCAGCUGACUUUGUGUGCUGGCGAAUAGGUGCCUGACUCUGAGGGUGUGAGUUCGAAUCCUGGAUGGGGCUCAACUAAAAAAAA